rnacentral:rRNA from 1 species
UACGUAGGGUGCAAGCGUUAAUCGGAAUUACUGGGCGUAAAGCGCACGUAGGUGGCUGGGUAAGUCCGUUGUGAAAGUCAAAGGCUCAACCUUUGAAAGCCGAUGGAUACUGCGGAGCUAGAGUACGGAAGAGGCGAGUGGAAUUCCUGGUGUAGCGGUGGAAUGCGCAGAUAUCAGGAGGAACACCAAUAGCGAAGGCAGCUCGCUGGGACGUUACUGACACUGAGGCGCGAAAGCGUGGGGAGCGAACAGG